rfam:Nicotiana sylvestris Nsyl_contig217702, whole genome shotgun sequence.
GGGAUUAUAGUUCAAUCGGUCAGAGCACCAUCAUGUCAAGGCGGAAGUUGCGGGUUCGAGUCUUGUAAGUCCCG